rnacentral:rRNA from 1 species
GACGAACGCUGGCGGCGUGCUUAACACAUGCAAGUCGAACGGAAAGGCCCUGCUUUUGUGGGGUGCUCGAGUGGCGAACGGGUGAGUAACACGUGAGUAACCUGCCCUUGACUUUGGGAUAACUUCAGGAAACUGGGGCUAAUACCGGAUAGGAGCUCCUGCUGCAUGGUGGGGGUUGGAAAGUUUCGGCGGUUGGGGAUGGACUCGCGGCUUAUCCGCUUGUUGGUGGGGUAGUGGCUUACCAAGGCUUUGACGGGUAGCCGGCCUGAGAGGGUGACCGGCCACAUUGGGACUGAGGUACGGCCCAGACUCCUACGGGAGGCAGCAGGCGGGAGUAUUGCACAGUGGGCGGAAGCCUGAUGCGGCAACGCCGCGUGCGGGAUGACGGCCUUCGGGUUGUAAACCGCUUUCGCCUGUGACGAAGCGUGAGUGACGGUAAUGGGUAAAGAAGCACCGGCUAACUACGUG